rnacentral:sRNA from 1 species
UCUACGCCGCGUUAGGGAUUGCAGCGGCAUCCUUUUUUUAACAAAAAAGUUAAUGGAACUACGAGACACUUCAUGUUUAAAAAACGACAAAUUAAUCAAGGACUCUUAAUAAAAAAAAAGAUAUAGCGGAAAGCCCGACCCUUG